rnacentral:lncRNA from 1 species
UCACCAUAACCACCACUGAGCUCUCUCUCCAUACCCAACUACCAAUCCCAUUGCAAUCAACACCAAGCCUAAAUGCCUUCAUAUCUUCAUGAAAUUACCCUUUACAUUCUCAGGAAACCCACUUCAUCUCUUUAGAUUUACUAGGCCUGAUCUGGAAAUACAUAGUGGAGAAUGAACAACUCUUUCAUUCUUACGAAACUCUGCUCGUCAGCUAACUUCGGCGGCUAAAUUCUCCAUCUUCUGUUGCUCAGAUAGUUACGACUUCUUCAUAAAAGUUGUUCAAAAUCGAGUCUUCUAAACUGUAUUCAAAUUUCAUGAAAAUCCAACGGUUGAAUCUUCCAAAAUCAAGUCCCUCUUCGAAAUGGGUCGAGUUCUUCUCUUGAGAUUGAAUUCAAUUCAUGAAGUACUCAUUUCAAUCUUGAGCACGUUGAAGCCAUCAAGGAGAGAGAGGCAAAAGG